rnacentral:rRNA from 1 species
GACGAACGCUGGCGGCGUGCUUAACACAUGCAAGUCGAACGAAGUGGCGGACGGGUGAGUAACGCGUAAUCAACCUGCCCUUCGGAGGGGGAUAACAGUUGGAAACGACUGCUAAUACCGCAUACUGAUGAAGGGGAUUGCGGUUGAUUAGCUAGUUGGAGGGGUAACGGCCCACCAAGGCGAUGAUCAGUAGCCGGUUUGAGAGGAGGAACGGGCAAAGUGGGACGUGGACACGGCCCAGACUCCUACGGGAGGCAGCAGUGGGGAAUGUUCCGCAAUGGACGAAAGUCUGACGGAGCAACGCCGCGGGAGUGAUGACGGCCUUCGGGUUGGAAAGCUCUGUUAAGCGGGACGCGGUACCGGAAUAGAAAGCCACGGCUAACUACGUGCCAGCAGCCGCGGUAAUAC